GUGAGGAAUAUUGGUCAAUGGGCGGGAGCCUGAACCAGCCAAGUCGCGUGAAGGAAGAAGGAUCUAUGGUUCGUAAACUUCUUUUGCAGGGGAAUAAAGUGCAGGACGUGUCCUGUUUUGUAUGUACCCUGAGAAUAAGGAUCGGCUAACUCCGUGCCAGCAGCCGCGGUAAUACGGAGGAUCCGAGCGUUAUCCGGAUUUACUGGGUUUAAAGGGUGCGUAGGUGGUUUGAUAAGUCAGCGGUGAAAGUUUGCAGCUUAACUGUAAAAAUGCCGUUGAAACUGUCGGGAUUGAGUGUAAAUGAGGUAGGCGGAAUGCGUGGUGUAGCGGUGAAAUGCAUAGAUAUCACGCAGAACUCCGAUUGCGAAGGCAGCUUACUAAGCUACAACUGACACUGAAGCACGAAAGCGUGGGGAUCAAACAGGAUUAGAAACCCGAGUAGUCC
rnacentral:rRNA from 1 species